rnacentral:lncRNA from 1 species
GUGCUUUACAAUACAUAGAAAAUAAAAAUGAUUAAAUAAAUACAGUAAAAAGCAACAAAAGCAAUAAUAGAAGUUUAAAAAAGAAUAAAAUACAAUCCAAAAAAAUAAAGUGUCACCACGCUACUGGGUAUUAAAAGCCAGCAUAAAUAAGUUUGUUUUCAAUCGGGAUUUAAAAAGGGUUAAGGUCGGAAAUAAGUCUCAUUUCAGCGUGGAGCUUAAUCCAGAGCCUGAGACCAACAACUGAAGAGGCUCGGUCACCCCAGUGUUUGUGUUUUGACCCGGGCACCUCCAGCAGAAGUUGAUUCGACGAUCUCAGAGCUCUACCCGGCUCCUGAACGGUUAAAAGUUCAGUUAAAUAUAUGGGACAAUAGAAGGCCAGUUUACGGUUCUAUUUUGGUUCUUAGUUGAACAGAUUUUUUAACUGAGUUAGAAAUAAAACAGACUCAAAUACAGAUGAACUCAAACAGAUCAAACCACAGAGUGGAAACAGUGAUUGCUCUGAGGCCAUCUGGUGGAUGAAUGAAGGAUGGCAGGGGAUCAGACUGAGAGGCAGCGGGCUGUUGUUUCAGGACAAAAUAUGAGUUUGAGUCAGAUGAAAAAAAAAACAUUCAACACCAAAGAGUUAAAAAAGAGACCGCUAGAAAAUAAGUGGAGGGUAUGAGCAGAAAAACCGACUUGUGUUUGUAGAGAAAAAAAAGAGAAAAUAGGACCCAGGUUCAUGAAGUGACUCCAAAAUCAGUCUCCUCUGCAUCUCCUGAGUUUACAAAAGUAUUAACUGAUGAAGUUUUCCUGCUCUAAAUUGUUUAUUCUGCCCCCUAGUGGUAUAAAGCAUCAAUCCUGCUGGUUAGAUACUGGUUCACAGUCAUAAAUCUCAAAAAUGUGAAUCAUAUUAAACAUUUAAAAAGCGAUUACUCCGGGGCUUCGGGAAAUCCUCGAGGUCGGAGGAUCUCUGCUCGUCUAAUAGUCCGGCGGUUCACGGCUGUUACGUCUAUCCGGCACAUUUAAUGGAAAUUAAAGCUCCACUUUCCCUCCUGAUAUUAAGAAUUUCUAAACUUGGACUCUUAAACCCGCGAGGGCUCAGUGAGGAUUAGACCUGAAGCUCUUUCUGGGGAUGGAUUAAGAGGAUUUCUUGGAGAACGGGGCUGUUCUAGUUGGACUCUGUUUAGUUUGGAUUAUCGUUAAAUGUUUAGUGAUUUAGAUGUCCUUUGAUAACACAUUUGAAUAUCUUAACAGUGGUGCUGUCGAGUCAAUUUACAUAAUUUUUCCUCUGUUGUUAAUCACCAAGGAUUUUCCCAAAGGUAGCUGAGCUUCAGUCGGCGCCGACUCCAUGAAUACACAAAAACAUCGACAGAAAAGAUGAAUACUCUUCAAUUUCUUGGAUAAAUUUGCAGAAGAUAGACGUCAAAGUUUCUCCCUCCCUGUCAAUCACGUCACAGAAUUUCUGAUUCAAGGUCUGCCUGAGCUUGAACUCUUAAAAACUUAAUAAGAAUCAAUACAAGCCGUCCACAUGUUUUACUUUAAAAGGGUUCACAGUUUUAUUUCUGUCAGCACAGCAGAGGGGGGAAAGUCCUUAUGUUGCAAGUCCAAGUCGAGUCUCAAGUCCUUUGCUCUCAAGUCCGAGGCAAGUCCAAGUCAACACAGACAAGUCCCAAGUCUAGUCCAAGUCCUUUGCUCUCAAGUCUCGAGUCAAGUCCAAGUCAACACAGACAAGUCCCAAGUCAAGUCCAAGUCCUUUGCUCUCAAGUCUCGAGUCAAGUCCAAGUCAACACAGACAAGUCCCAAGUCAAGUCCAAGUCCUGAACUUUUUGUUUCGAGUCCCAACCAAGUCCUUACCGUUUCUUUCAAGGCAAAAACAAGUCAUAUCAAAGCCAUAAGCCAUCUGUUAUAUGCAAAGAUUUACAGUUUGAGACAGUGUUGCCAAGUUUUGUGAGAGAAAUAAGGAAACAGACCUCCAGAAACAAGACAAAAACAAGCGAAUUUCUUUUGCGGGAAAUAAGCAGACUUGGCAACAUAACACAGCGUUACCAACGGCCGUAAUUACUGACUAUUAGUUGAUGCAACACUUUUUAAACGGUUUGGGCUGUAAGGUAUUAAGUGACUUAAGAAGACUUGACUUGACUUUUCAAGUCACUGGGCUCAAGUCAAGUCAAGUCUCAAGUCUUUAGCAAUCAAGUCCCAAGCGAGUCCAAGUCAUUUCUUGAUUUCAUCAAGCAAGUCAAAAAUGAGACUCAAGUCCAAGUCGAGUCUCGAGUCGAGUCGUCAAGCCCCCACCUCUGCAGCACAGUGUACAGAAACAUCAUAACAUUGUGAUGUCUUUGUGUACUCAUGUCGUGUUUGUGAUGCCGAGCUGCCUAAUAUUCUCUCAGGUCACUUAAUCACUCAGAAAAAGAUGCCAAGCUGUUGAAUAAUGAGACUGAUAAACUUAAAUCUGUUUAGACUCAAACCCGACGCCUCGGCUUUGCAGAGAUGCUCAGUUCAUUAUUCACAGACUGCGCGGUGACUCAUCUUCUCUGUUAUUAUUUCACAUUUAUUCAAAGACACACACAGAUGGUACACAGAGUCACAGAGUGUACUUCAGCGGUUUAUAGAGAUAUUAGUGAACAAAGGUACUAUUUACCUCAGACUGAAAAGAACUGAAAAAAAAAGACAGUCUUUGUGGUUUUUCUGCUUGUUUCUGUUUGUGGCAUCCUUGUGUUUUCAAUCGCCUUUCACUGGAGUCUAGUUCAUCAGAGAAACACUCUGUACUCAGGAUGAUAUAACCAUCUUGAGUGCACAUUGAUGAGGUCAUUCUGCUCUGUUUGUAUGUCUCGCUUAUAUAAACUUCUCGUGUUUUCCGAGUUUUAACACACCUUCAACCUGAGUGACGACAUUCAUUUUGCACUUCCUUGUGUUGGACGCAAGAGGUAUCGUCUAUUUAAAGGGAUAUUCCGGCGUAAUUAAGUUAGGGUCAAACACGCCGUAAUACCGAGUUAGACACCCUGUCGAGAGAUGAAUGUUGCCGACCGCUUGCCGUUUCAGGAAAUUUUCACGCAAACAUGAAACCACUGAAAACAAUGUAGUGCAUAUGCCACACCAGUAAAUGGCGCUGUAACGCUCCCCCAAAAAUGUACCAAAAGACCAAAGAAGAGUACAGAGUAUGGGUAUGAAGGUGUUUUAGCAGGAUCCACACAGGCGGCAGUUCAAGAAAGAUACAAGUAGGCAUCCUCACAGAAUCGAAACAAUAGUUAUAUACAGAUUACUGCAAUCUGGGACCUGUUUUCAGAAAGUAUUGCUU